rnacentral:rRNA from 1 species
AGUCCCGCAACGAGCGCAACCCUUUUCCUUAUUUGCCAGCGGGUUAAGCCGGGAACUUUAAGGAUACUGCCAGUGACAAACUGGAGGAAGGCGGGGACGACGUCAAGUCAUCAUGGCCCUUACGACCAGGGCUACACACGUGCUACAAUGGCAGGUACAAAGAGCAGCCACUUAGUGAUAAGGAGCGAAUCUCAAAAAGCCUGUCUCAGUUCGGAUUGAAGUCUGCAACUCGACUUCAUGAAGGUGGAAUCGCUAGUAAU